rnacentral:rRNA from 1 species
UUGAACGCUGGCGGAAUGCUUUACACAUGCAAGUCGAGCGGCAGCGCGGGGCAACCUGGCGGCGAGCGGCGAACGGGUGAGUAAUAUAUCGGAACGUACCCUGUCGUGGGGGAUAACACAUCGAAAGAUGUGCUAAUACCGCAUACGACCUGAGGGUGAAAGCGGGGGAUCGCAAGACCUCGCGCGAUAGGAGCGGCCGAUAUCGGAUUAGCUAGUUGGUGAGGUAAAGGCUCACCAAGGCGACGAUCCGUAGCUGGUCUGAGAGGACGACCAGCCACACUGGAACUGAGACACGGUCCAGACUCCUACGGGAGGCAGCAGUGGGGAAUUUUGGACAAUGGGGGAAACCCUGAUCCAGCCAUUCCGCGUGAGUGAAGAAGGCCUUCGGGUUGUAAAGCUCUUUCGGCGGGGAAGAAAUCGCAUUCUCUAAUACAGGAUGUGGAUGACGGUACCCGAAUAAGAAGCACCGGCUAACUACGU